CCUACGGGUGGCAGCAGUAGGGAAUAUUGCUCAAUGGCGGAAACCCUGAAGCAGCAACGCCGCGUGGAGGAUGAAUGUUUUCGGAUUUUAAACUCCUUUUUUUAGAGAAGAUAAUUACGGUAUCUAACGCAUAAGCACCGUCUAACUCCGUUCCAGCAGCCGCGAUAAUACGGAGGGUGCAAGAGUUACUCGGAAUCACUGGGCGUAAAGAGCGCGUAGGCGGGAUAGCAAGUCAGAUGUGAAAUCCUAUGGCUUAACCAUAGAACUGCAGUUGAAACUGUUAUUCUAGAGUGUGGGAGAAGUAGGUGGAAUUCUUGGUGUAGGGGUGAAAUGCAUAGAGAUCAAGAAGAACACUCAUUGCGAAGGCGACCUGCUAGAACAUAACUGACGCUGAUGCGCGAAAGCGUGGGGAGCAAACAGGAUUAGAUACCCUAGUAGUC
rnacentral:rRNA from 1 species